CCAGUGAGCAGGGAGCAGAUUUGCAUGAAGGGGCCGUUCUCCAGCACUGGGGGUUUAAGAGAGAAUCGGAAGGUCUCAGCCACAGACCCGUUUGCCUCAGGGAGCCGAGCUCGUCUGGAUUCCCACCAUGGCCUGGGCCCCUCUGCUCCUCGCGCUGCUCACGUACUGUUCAGGUUCUCUCGCCCAGUACGUGCUGACUCAACCGCCCUCAGUGUCUGUAUCUCUAGGACAAAAUGCUCAAAUCACCUGCACAGGAGAAAAAGUUGACAAACAGUAUGUGAGCUGGUAUCAGCAGAAACCUGGCCAUGCCCCCGUACUCGUUAUAUACAAGGAUAGUGAGAGACCCUCCGGAAUCCCUGAGCGAUUCUCUGGGGCCAGCUCCGGUAAAACAGCCACAUUAACCAUCACUGGAGUCCAGGCGCAGGACGAGGCUGAUUAUCACUGUCAUCAUAAUUUCAAAGACAGUAGUAACACUACUCACUACUCACAGUGACACAGCCAGAUGGGGAAGUGAGACACAAACUGCCCGUUGACACGGGGGCUCAUUUAUUCUCAUUCUUUCUGUGACAGCGUGAGGG